rnacentral:lncRNA from 9 species
CUUUCCUUUUUUUUUUUUUUUCUUUUUCUUUUUCUUUUUUCUUUUUUUUUUCCUCUAUCUGGAAAAGACUCAUGCUUAUUUAAUUUCUUGUUUUUUGGUCUUUGUUUCCAGCUAUUCAAUAAGUGUUAAGAAAAUCAGAAGGAGCCACUGGGAUACUUUGCUUCCUAGAAGCAGGGUGAUGAUCUCACUGAGUCUCAAACCUUUAUCUUCGUGUCCAGUUGACCCUGUCCACACCUGCGUGAUGCUGCCCUUGCAGUCACUGUCCUGACCUUGAACUCAGUUGGGUAAGCAGAUAUUCUUGUCAAAUAAUUCUUCGGCUCUUAGAAGGAAUAGAAUUAAUUUCCUAUUUCAGUGGGAAACAGUAUAUGGAUGAAACAGUGCUGCCCGCUGGGGCUGGAGCAUGAAAGCAAACAUAGGCAGGAGGAAGGGGUUCUCAGGGAUUCAGAGAAACACCGUUGCCCACGGCCCACACCUCGGGGCUGCCUGGCAUCCCCUUCCAUCUUCUCCGUGGUCUGAAAUCUCCUCUACUUGACCCUGCAAAUAUUUCCUCUAAAAUUCUUCUACGCAGAUGCAGGAAGAGCAGUGAGAUCAUGUUUGUCUCGCUGAGUCGAUGGCUGUGAUCCACCAGCAACUUACGGUGCUGGCAUUUGGUUUCUUCAUCUCUGGGAACCAGUUGUACUUGAUUGGUCACAACAGAGACUCUAAAACUUGUCCCCUGGGUGGACAACAGUAUGCUUCCCUCUAUUUAGCAGUGAUUCUCAGGAAAGGAUAUGUGACUGGAAGAAGGAGGUUUUGGAGUUUCCACUGUGGCCCCCAGCUGGAAAGAUCCAGCUUUGUCUCUGUGGCAGCAGAUGUUCGAUCCCCAGCCCAGGCCAGUGGAUUCAGGAUCCAGCAUUGCCACAGCUGUGGCGUAAGUCGCAGCUGUGGCUCAGAUUUGAUCCUUAGAUUUCGUGGGUGCAGCUAAAAAAGAAAAAAAAAAAUAAGGUUUUAACAUGCGCUCUGAUAUUCCUAUUCCUUUAAUAAUAAGUUGAAGUAUCUGUGCAGGGGGCCUCGGCUCCCCCUCCAGAUCAAAGGGAACUCUGAAAGUCGCUCCACCUGUCCGCUCACUAUUAACAAGAUGGUUUGUUAUUCUGACAUUCACGAUUCUAAACGGCGGGGUGCCUCCCUCUUUUCCUGAGAGGCGGGUGCUCUGAGUGAAGUUAGCCAAAGAAUACCUGUGCAUGAGGAAGAGCUGAGACUUUAUUUUUCGAGAAAAACUGCAGUCCUUCAUGGACGGAUAGCAUCUGGAACCACCGUAAUUUUAGGAAUCUGCGGCUCCGCUGAGGUCUGGGUGAUGCAAACUUUGCUCCUCGUCCCGGCACAUUGUGCUAUUUAUUCUCUACAUUUAUGUCACAAUUUAUCUUGAGUAACAUGUGACUCUUUCUCUUCUCCCUUCACUUAGUUUGCUCCAUUGAUCUAAUUCUGUCUUUUUGUUUUUAAAUCCUGAUUAUGAGUCCCCAUUUUUUUUUAUUUGACGUGAUGCUCUAUAGAUUAAAAUACCUGAUGUGGAGAGUCCUGGCCGAGCCAUCUGUGUGAACCAUGAGAGCGGGUGUUCCUGUUAGAACAGCUCUGUGGCUCUGCCACAGCCUCUUCUAUAUCCAGAUGGUGUGCACUUUCAUCGUCAGUGUAUGUUCUUUUUUUUUUUUUUUGUCUUUUUGCCUUUUCUAGGGCUGCUCCUGCGGCAUAUGGAGGUUCCCAGGCUAGGGGUCCAAUCGGAGCUGUAGCCUCUGGCCUACACCACAGCCACAGCAACACCAGAUCCAAGCCACGUCUGCAACCUACACCACAGCUCACAGCAACGCCGGAUCGUUAACCCACUGAGCGAGGCCAGGGAUUGAACCUGCAACCUCAUGGUUCCUAGUCGGAUUCGUUAACCACUGCACCACGACGAGAACUCCCUGUCAGUGUACGUUUUUUCAGAGACAUUGAUUUAUUCAGAAAUGCACCGUACUUUCUCUCUUAGUUGCCCUUCUGGCUUGGUGAAUCAUUCUCUUCAUUUCCUCUGUGAAAUACCCUCGAUGAAGUCCUCGGGAUGUAAAUAAUUGCUUGGAGGAUGUGUUCUCUCACUAGUUCUGUUCCCACAUAGAAAACCAUAUGUUUAUCAAGAGUCAGUUGCUUUGUGCCCCACAUUCUUCUUUUUUUUUCUUUUUAAUGGCUGUACCAGGGCCAUAUGGAAGUUCCGAGGCCAGGGAAUGAAUCCAAGGCACAGCUAUGGCAACACCUGAUCCUCCAACCCACUGGCCAGGCUGGGGGAUCAAACCUGCACCUCCACAGCAGGUUACUCAGGUGAGCCACUGCAGGCAAACUCCCAACUCACUACACCACAGUAGGAAUCCCUCUACCCCAAAUUCUCUCUUUUUUUUUUUUUCUUUUUAGGGCCUCUCCUGCAGCAUAUGGAGGUUCCCAGGCUAGGGGUCCCAUCGGAGCUACAGCUGCUGGCCUACACCACAGCCACAGCAACGCCGGAUCCGAGCCGCGUCUGUGACCUACACCACAGCUCAUGGCAAUGCCGGAUCCUUAACCCACUGAGCGAGGCCAGGGAUCGAACCCACAACCUCAUCAUUCGUUCAGAUUUGUUUCCACUACACCAUGAUGGGAACUCCAUCUACUCCACAUUCUUAAUUCUAGUUUCAUUAAAAAAAAAUCCCAUUAUUUAUUUAAUUGCAAUAAAUACCACGAAAAUAUGAUUGCAAAGAAAAGAUUUCAUUUAAAAUAUUCCACACUGCAAAGCUCUAGAAAGCUCUAGAAAACAACAAAACUUUAGGUCCUUUCAAUAUAAUUCCAUAUGAUUUAAAAGUGGCUGUUAAAACUUCAGUGAUUAGGGGAGUUCCUGCCAUGGCACAAUGGGUUAACAAUCCAGCUUGUCUCUGCGGAGGCUCUGGUUUGAUCCCCCGCUUGGUGGCCUGGUGCGGUGAGGUAAGGAUCCCGUAUUGCGGCAGCUGUGGCACAGUUGAAGCUCCAGCUCGGAUUCACCUACACCGCAGUUGCAGCAAGGCCAGAUCCUUAGCCCAAUGUGCUGGGCCAGGGAUGGAGCUGGCAUCUCCACAGAGGCAAUCCAGAUCCUUAACCCAUUGUGCCACAUUGGGAAGCCCUCAGUUUGCUUUUAAUGUGGGAAAACCUGACAUAAUGGACACUUCUAGAAACAAGAUUUAAUAUAGUCUUUCUUUUCCUUUUCAGAUUAUUCUGCUUAUAAUUGAACAUUAUCCCUUUGAUAUCGAUGUGAUGGUUUCUAUCAACCUAGACUGGGUGAUUACCUUCCUCACUCAGAUCAAACUUGGGGUUCUGGGAAACUCCUUACUUCUUUGUUUUUAUAUGUUUACUUUGAUCACUGGGCAAAAUCUCCAACCCACAGACCAAAUCCUCAGCCAACUCAUCCUAGCCAACUGCUUAGUUCUUUUCUCCAAAGAGAUCCCUCAGGAAAUGGCAGUGCUUGGACUGAAAUUUUUCCUGGAUGUUGCUGGAUGUAAAUUUAUCUUCUAUUUUUAUAGAGUGGCCAGAGGGGUUUCCCUCAGCACUACCUGCCUGCUCGGUGGCUUCCGAGCCUUAAAACUUUGUCCCAGUAGCUGUAAGUGAAUGGAGAUCAAAAUUAGAUUCCCAAAGUACAUUGGCUUCUGCUGUUCCUUUUGCUGGAUCCUCAAUCUCUUAGUAAAUAUACAUGUUGCUAUAGAGGUGAAUGGCCCAGACAACGCCAAAAAUAGAAAUAUAGAGAAAGUGUAGAAAUCCUGUUCUGGACCUGGCCCAAACCAACUUAAAAGCUCACUGCUAGCAAGCGUAAUGUUUUUCAUUGACUUUGCGUGUUUGGGUCUCAUGGUCUGGGCUAGUGGCUCCAUGGUCUGUCCUGCACAGACACAAGCAACGAGUCUAAAAUCUUCACAGCCACAGACGUUCCCCUAGACCCUGCCACGAGGCCAGAGCCACACGCGGCCUCCUGAUCCUGGUGAGCGCCUUUGUUUCAUUUUAUUCUCUUUCUUCCAUUUUGACUCUCUGUGUAACCCCAAGUGUGAAUCCAGCCCAGUGGCUGGUGACUAUAUCUGUGUUCAUGGCUUUAUGUUUCCCAACACUCAGCCCCUUCGUGUUCAUCACUCAUGACACUCGUGUCUCUAAGUUACACUCGGCCUGCUGGGAAAGAUUGUGUUUUCCUUCUGGUGGUGUAAUGAAUCAGCUCUCCUCUACGGGACACUGAAUGAUCCAUUUCCCCCCCCCCCCUCUCUCUCUUUUUAUUUUUUUUGUCGUUUUAGGGCUGCACCUACGGCACAUGGAAGCUCCCAGGCUAGGGGUGGAAUCUGAGCUACAGCUGCUGGCCUAUGUCACAACCACAGCAACGCGGGAUCCAAGCCGCAUCUGCGACCAACACUGCAGCUCACGGCAACCCUGUAUCCUUAACCCACUGAGCGAGGCCAGGGAUCAAAGCCUUGUCCUCAAGGAUACUCGUCGGGUUUGUUAGCCACUGAGCCACGACGGGAACUCCCAUUUGCCUUUCUUCACUUGCAAAUGUCUACCAAGUGCCAGCUCUUGGACACAAUUUUGAUUAAGGUAACGUAAAAAAACCACACAAAAACAAAAAAGCAGAACUUGCCCUCAUAGAUUUUUACAAGUUGGUCAAAAUGGGACCUAUAUGUAAAUAAUGAUACAAAGAAUAUGAACCUAAUUUUAACAUGACCUUCAGUGAAAUGGCUACACUGUAUUUAGAAAGUGUAAUGUAAAAAAAAAACUUUUUAGGAGUUCGCUGGCAGCCUAGCCCUUAAGGAUCUGGCAUUGUCACUACUGUGGUGAGGGUUCAAAUCCUGGAACAGAAACUUCUGCUUGCCACAGGUGUGGCAAAACAAACAAACAAAAAAACCCACAAAAAAACAAAAACCAAGAUUUUUUUAAAAAUUAAAAAGUUUUGGAGUUCCCGUUGUGGCUGAGUGGUUAAUGAAUCCGACUCAGAACCAUGAGGUUGGGGGUUUGAUCCCUAGCCUUGCUCAGUGGGUUAAGGAUCUGGCGUUGCCAUGAGCUGUGGUGUAGGUCGCAGGUGCAGCUCGGAUCUGGCGUUGCUGUGGCUCUGGUGUAGGCUGGCAGCUGCAGCUCCAAUUAGACCCCUAGCCUGGAAACCUCAGGUGUGGCCCUAAAAAGAAAAAAAAAAAAA